rnacentral:lncRNA from 1 species
CCAUAAUGGAGGGCAUAAUUUGGGGGGGGCAUUAAUGACUGAAAGGCCUUUAUACAGUAGUUUGAAGCUAUUAAAAGAUUCCAUAUAAGUUCAGAGCAUAACACAUAUUUACCACUAUUCACAAACAGACGUAGUGAUGUAAGCCUGAAAAGUAAAAUUCACCUCGUGCUGUGGAGAUGUUAGGUUCCUUGCUUUAGGAAUCAGUCAUUACAUAUUUGUUCUAGGAGCUAAAGACGGCGGUGUGUUCUUACAGUUUGGUUGUUUUUGCAAACUGCUGCCUGAAUUUUGGUCUAAUGAAACUUACAGAUUUUCUGGAUCACGUUGUUUUACAGAGGUGUGAUUGCAUCAGCUCUCUUCCUGUAUUCAGUUCUUGGUCUGAUUGCAUUUUCGUUAAGAAAAAGGCAGAAGAAAAUUCUUACUGAACAUACAGAAAGGGCUUUUCAUCUGGAAUGUAAAUUUUUUUUAUCUUUUAAAAUACUUUUUAAAAUGUGAUAUAAUAUACAUACAGUUAUAAUACAGGUUUUCAUAUGGAACUCAAUUCUACUUCAUCUAAUAUGGAAUCCCCCCGUGUUCCAUUAAAUAGAGAAUAGUUUGUGUGUAGAAUUUUUCUAGAGGAGAUAUUCCACAACUUUCAAUCUAUGUUCAUAGCGGUGACCCUCGGGGAAUGGCUGUCGCCACAGCAGUGGCAGAUAGUAAAUCAAUGACCUGGUAUUGGUGGUGCUGCAGUAGUCACAGUUUAUUGCUCAUUGUAGACUCUGUCAUCUGAAAGAUUUUCCUGGUACUUUUUAAUAUGUAUUGAUAGCUGAAGUGAGGAGCUUGGGUAACCUGGGACCAGGCACAGUUGACACGGGUAGAGCGGCAUUCUCUGUUCUCGGUAUAAAGAAGCUGGGCGGGUCCCGGUGCUCAGAUUGGGUCUGGACUGAACUUUUGGGAAGGUGUUAAUUUGCUCUCUUAAAAGAGAUCCAGAGGUACAGAAAAUCACACUUGUAGUUCUGUAACUUACAGGGAAAAUGAAUGAAUUAAGUGGUUUUUAAAAAAUAACGUUAAUUAUGGUUAAAGAUACAGAUUUACAAGUGAAUAGUUUGGAAAAUAUGUUAAGAAUGGCAUAAGCAAGAUGUAUUGACUUGGAAAGGUAAAUCCAGUGGAUCUCAAAAAUGUUAAUUCUGUUAUCUGCCUCAGUUUUUUUCACUGAGGGUAUAUCUUUGUCACAAAUAGCUCCUCCUCCUUCUCUCACGAAAAUAAAUGAUCAUGUAUUUGGGAUUAACGUAGCUACUAUUACUGAAUCUUCCAUCAAAUCUAAUAAAGUUCUUUAAAAUUAUAAUUCCCAGUUAAUUUAUGUUUGAAUAGUUUUUAUAGGAUAGAAAGCUGCAUAUAAUUUAUUUUCUCUCUAUUUCUUCCAAGAAGCAGAUUAACAACUCAUUUUUUUUUUUUUUUUUCCCGUAUUUAGUGAUGUGAUCUGUAGGGUAGCCACUUCUGUUAGCUUUUCAAUGGCAAAUGUAUGUCCAGUAGUUUCAGGAGUAACCUGUCAAAGUCUAAUUCCAAACAUUGCUGGAGUCAGUUUAAAAGUGUAAUAAAUUUUGGUUUUCCUUUGUUCAUUUAUUAUCAUAAAUAUACCGUCUCCCCACAUGGAUAUUAAAUAAUGGAAAUAAAACCAUGUCUCAAAUUCCCAUUCUUUAAAAAGAAUCUUUUCAGGAUUUAAAUAAACACUGGAAAGUGGCAUUGGUUAAUAAAUCAGAAUGUGAUUGAAAUGACAAGACUGUGAGUCAUUUGACUUUAAAAAUUUCAAUAUUUGUAUUAAAAGAAUCAUUGUCUUUUUCAGAUAAAUUUGCGCCUCAUCUUGGUAAGCGGGAAGACAAAAGAGUUCCUGUUUUCUCCCAAUGAUUCUGCUUCUGACAUCGCAAAGCAUGUGUAUGACAACUGGCCGAUGGACUGGGAAGAAGAGCAGGUCAGCAGCCCAAAUAUUCUGCGCCUUAUUUAUCAAGGACGAUUUCUACAUGGAAAUGUCACAUUAGGAGUGUAUUCAUUUGUUUAAAUGCUAAUAUCUGAUUCUACUAAAAAACUUUUUUCGAACUGUGAAUUUUGUCCAAUUUUUGAUAUGUUUCCUUUUUUUACAUUUUGUGUUGUUUAGUUUUAGCACUCUGGUACGUGUUCACUACCUUGUAAAAUAAACUCUAAGCCUGUAUAGACGGAGGUCCAUACCUGUUAUUUUAUAAAUGUACUCUUAAUUGUACUUCUGGAUAAUAUAAUUCAGAUGUGAUUUUUUAAAGUUAAAAUCAGACAUACAAACAAGGAAAUGUUUAUGAUAUGGAUUUGCAAAUACAACAAUGAAGGGAUGUUUUCAGUUUAGCUCUCACUGAUACCGUUGCCGGUCAUGCAGGAAUUGAGUAACAUUAGAGAAACAGUGUAAUGUAGUGACUGAAAGAGCAGGGUUUAGAGCCAGAUUGUCCAACUUGUGUCUUAGCUCCCUCCACUGCUCUACUGUCUCUAACCUUGAGCAAGUUAUGUCACUGCUUUGCGUCCUAGUUUCCUCAUCGGUAAAUUGAGAUAAAAAUAGUACCUACCUCAGAGGUUGGGAGGGUUAAAUUGGUUUAUAUUCAAAGCACCUAGAACAGUGCUUGGCACACAUUAAACCCUUUAAAUGUUACCCAUUCCUGCUCUUAAUAUGUGAACGGAGAGAGGUAGCUCAAUAGUGCCCCCUCAUGGGGGUACAUUUUCUACCAUCAGCAUGUAUUGUAUUUGAAAUCUGUAGGCAGAUGAUCUACUUUAAUAUAUUUUUGUUUAUAUAUAGUCAUGAUAUGUUCCCUCUACACCUAAAAAUUGGAUUUUUUAACCUGUUUUUCCUUAAAGGUAGAAUAUUUUCAUUCAUUCAGCAUGUAUUUAUUUCUUAUGUGCCAACGCUAUGCUAAACAUUUGGAGAUACAGGGUUGAACAAGAUAGGAUCUCUUCCUUCGCAGUGCUCCAAUAUUAAUUACAUAGUGGACACAGAUAAAAUUCAUUGUUAAAAUACAGUGUGGGAGAGGCUGGAGGAGGUGGAUGCAAAUGAUGACGAUGAUGACAGUAUCGAGGAGAUUGAACAUUUCAGUGCAUAGUUGCACACAGAGCCCGAUUCUGGUGGCACUGGUAAUGCUGACCUGAAAGGUAAUGCUGCGCAUUAAGGGGUGCCUGCCAUUUAAAAUACGGCUUCUUGGUUUGUUUGAGGUGUUUUGGUUUUUGUUUGUUUGUUUUUGACGGUCUGAGCCCCACAUAAGCUCUUGUUAUAUUGAUUGGUAAGUGUUGAUUGAAUUUAAUCUGUUGACUACAUAAAUGAGUCUCGAGACCCCAUUUCACUUUGGGUGUUGAUCUAUGCGAGCAGUCUCUCACCAGCUUAAUUUUUUCACUACCUUUCUGUUACGACUCCAAAGCUCCAACCUCAUAAUAAAUAUUGUAGAAUUUGUGGUAAAAUUAACCUAUUGAUUGUUUUGGAGUUUGUUUUUGAAUAAUUAACAGAUUGACUUAUGUUAUUAUUGUCAUUCUUUGUUGCCGUUAAUCUUUUUCAAAAGCCAAACAAACCAUCUCUGGCCUUGGUGAUUUGGACAAGUAGCAUAGGAGUAAGAUCCUAGACCUUUCAAGUUGAUCAGUGUACCUGGGUAAUAACAUUCGACUGUUUGUGGGGUGUUGAUCGCUGUUUUUCUCUUGUCUCCCGGAAUUCUGGAACGUGGGUGAAAAGGAGACACUGCAUAGAGUCGUGUGGCUGAAUGGCUAGUGUGGAGAAACCUGGGCUUGCUUCACAUGGCUUGAGACUUGCUCUGUAUGUAUAACUCUGUAGGCAAAGGAUACUUAUUUUUACAUGCAGAUUUCUGGGAGUUCCCACUAUGGUGCAGUGGGUUAAUGAUCCAGCUUGCUCUGUGGAGGCAUGGGUUCAGUCCCCAGCCUGGCACAAUGGGUUAAGGGUAUGGCAUUGCUGCAGCUGUGGCAUGGGUCUCAGCUCCGUCUUGAAUUUGAUCCCUGGCCUGGGAACUUAUAUGUCGUAAGGGUGGCCAAAAAAGGGGGAAAAAAAGAAAAAAAAAUACAGGUUUCCACAUGCACGCUCCCUGCCUCCCCCAUCCCAGUCUGCUACCGUUGUGAAACCCAGUGAUGGACGAGGGAAGACCUCUCUCCUGGACACUGUGCAGUGUGGCAGUAGAAGGCAGAAGCACCACCCUGAGGGAGAGAGAAAGCUGCUUGGAUCUGAUACCCUCUUCCUUUACCUUCUCUGAUACUGGGAGCAUAAUACCUGCUAUUUCUAGUUAAAACUCAGCUAGAGGAGAAGGAUCAUAGUCCCCAUCAUUCAGAUUUGUAGCUUCAAAUGGGCAGCCCCUCAGCAGCUUUUAGGCCUGUCCAGCGUGGCUGCCAGUGUACCCCUCGGUUCACGGUUCACUUACCUGUGCUCCGAGAGGCCUCUUCCUUGCUGCCCGGAGUGAUGAUGACGAUGACGGUAAGGUUUACAGGCUGCUUUUCUGUGCCGAGCCCUGAGGUAAGCACUUUCCUGGGAUUGUUUGUUUUAAUCAUUGCAAAGGCCCCGCUGGUGGAAUUACUAUCUCCAGUUUAGGUGGCGGAAACUGAGGCAUUGGGAGGGGUUAAAAACUCUCAUAGCAAAUCUCACAGUCAGUAAAUAGCAGGGCUCUGGCUUAGCAGAGGCAGUGUGGUACGUGGCCAUUUUUAACGCAGUCAGGCUUUCCCAGUGCACUUAGUGAACUUUCCAAUAGGUCUUGUUUGCAUUUCAGUGUUAAAUGAGGCCUAGGAGAUUAUCCAAUAAAGGCCCUCUCCUUUUCUAGUGGGUGUUUUGAAUGCUUUAUUUGAAUUUUGGAAGUUAAGAGGAUAAACCAAAUAAUGGCUAGAUAGCUUUAUAAUGGAAACUCACCUUGAUUACAUGAAAUAUUAGUGAUAUUGAAGGUAAUUAGGGUGCUUUUUAACCCUCACCCUAUUCUAGAGAAGGUUUUAAAAGCGUGUGGCAGGAGGGCCACACUUCCCAAGUCAUGAUCUAAGCCUGUCUGAAGUUCGUAGUCAGUGAGGGGGUAGUUUGAGCUGUCAGAACUAAAACAUCACAACUCUGGGGCAUUUGGUGUACUGGCUGCUUCUGACUUUCUACGCAGAAUGACAGAAACGUGGGCUUACAUGGUUCAUGGGUAUAUGGGUGUCUUACAUAACUCUGUGUCCAGAAUAUUUCAUAGUAAUAUUCUGUGUUGCUUAUAAAUGAGAAAAACCUUUUAAAGUCCUGAUUAGAAAACAGUGACUGCUAAUAAUGCCAAGACAGUUACUCUUUUAGGGUAAUACUUUUUAAGAAAAUUAUUUCCUAAUUGAAGAAUAUAAGGUUGAGGGUUUAAAAUUAAGUUCAUCAUUUCUUCUGUUUCUGCAUUAUAGUGGCCUGUUCGGCGCAGGAAUUUUUAGAUGACUAGAUAUAAUUAGAUUUCGAAACAAAUGUCUCUUAUCUACACUCCCUAAUUUAGAAAAAUCAAUCUUUAAAAGAUUUUUUAAAAAUUCUUUCUCUCCUUUAAAGAUUAUCUAGUUUUAACCAAUUAAGUAUUUUAUUAUCUCCUUCCUUAAACAGUGUGUAUAUAUGGAUCGAGCUAAUAGCCAUAGCUAACUAACUUUUGAAUUAUAAAAAUUAUUUCUGCGAGUUCCCUUCAUGGCUCAGUGGUUAAUGAAUCCAGCUAGGAACCAUGAGGUUGCAGGUUCGAUCCCUGGCCUUGCUCAGUGGGUUAAGGAUCUCGCGUGGCCGUAAGCUGUGGUGUAGGUCACAGACGCUGCUUGGAUCCCACGUGGCUGUGGCUGUGGCUUAGGCCAGCGACUACAGCUCUGAUUGGA